GACGAACGCUGGCGGCGUGCUUAACACAUGCAAGUCGAGCGGUAAGGCCCUUUCGGGGGUACACGAGCGGCGAACGGGUGAGUAACACGUGAGCAACCUGCCCUUCACUCUGGGAUAAGCCCGGGAAACUGGGUCUAAUACCGGAUACGACUUCGAUCGGCAUCGAUUGAGGUGGAAAGAUUUAUCGGUGAAGGAUGGGCUCGCGGCCUAUCAGCUUGUUGGUGGGGUAAUGGCCCACCAAGGCUUCUACGGGUAGCCGGCCUGAGAGGGCGACCGGCCACACUGGGACUGAGACACGGCCCAGACUCCUACGGGAGGCAGCAGUGGGGAAUAUUGCGCAAUGGGCGAAAGCCUGACGCAGCAACGCCGCGUGAGGGAUGACGGCCU
rnacentral:rRNA from 1 species